GGCAGCUAAGACCGGCCGGAUUGCGCAUCAUCACCCCCCAUUCCCGAUCCCCUCCCCCGAAAUGUGAUUCCCAUUCCGAUAUUAGUUCCUUUUUCUUUCUUUUUGGACAAAAAACCCCUCUGAUCCAACCUGCGAUUGAGUUGCUGUGAAAAUGAAGAAUCCCUUGCCGUUGCCGCCGUCAACCAAAUUUCCGGUGAAAUCCGCCCCAUCUCCUCUUCGGAUCUGCCCUGCUGUGAUUCAUUUUACAGAGCUGCCCUAUUCUUGUUCGUUUUAAUAUGCUUCCUACUCUGGUGAGGCAUAUGUUUUGUUUGGUUUGAUUAUAGCUCUGGGAGAUCGGAUGAUACAUAUGUUUUAGGAUUUUCCAUACAUUUGUUUGGUUUGAUUAUAGUUCUAGGAGAUUGGCUGAUACAUAUGUUUUAGGAUUUUCCAUAAUAAAAAUAAGAACCAAAUGGGAAGUGUCAAAUCAGCACCGGAAGGAGAACUGUAAACUUUGGCUUUAAGAGGUGUCUUACAUGUGACCAACUACUCUUGUGUGGUUGUUUUUGUGGUAUUUAUAUUGUACUGAAUCACUGGUGACUCUGUAAAACCAAUAUGUAAGGAACCUUAUUAGCUCGCUUUGUCUUGUUUUUUA